rnacentral:rRNA from 1 species
AACGAACGCGGGCGGAAGGAGGAAAAAAGGAAAGUCGAAAGAAGGCUUCGGCCUUAGUGUGAAACGAGUGCGUAACGCGUGGGAAUCUGCCCUUUGGUUCGGAAUAACAGCUGGAAACGGCUGCUAAUACCGGAUGAUGACGAAAGUCCAAAGAUUUAUCGCCAGAGGAUGAGCCCGCGUUGGAUUAGGUAGUUGGUGGGGUAAAGGCCUACCAAGCCGACCACCCAUAGCUGGUCUGAGAGGAUGAGCCGAGACACGGGGACUGAGACACGGCCCAGACUGCGACGCGAGGGUGCAGUGGGGAAUACUGGAAAAUGGGCGGUAGCAUGUGCCAGCACUGCCGCGUACCUCCUUCUUGUCGUAGGGUUGUAAAGCUCUGUGCCAGCUGAAGAUAAUGACUGUACCGGGAGACUAAGCUCCUUCUCCCUCCGUU